rnacentral:misc_RNA from 1 species
AAGGAUAUAUUCGGAACAGUUUCGCAGGAAACUGAAACGGAAUAACGUGACAUAUUGUAUUCAGUUUUGAAUGUUUAUUUGAAACAUUCAAAGAUUGUACAUUGAAAACUAGAUAAGUAAGUAAAAAAUAGAUUUUACCAAGCAAAACCGAGUGAAUUAGAGUUUUAAAAGCUUUAUUCAUUUAAAUGAAUCGCUAGUAAUCAAUUGCCGACGGCAAGCGAUUACUCACAAUAUUAAUAACGU